ACUUUUUGUUUUUGUUGACAUUUGGUGGUUGUCGUUCAAUCCGGGAUUGUAGAGUACAACGGUUUAAGUUUUAACGCUACUCGUCGCAAGAACGUUUAUAUUCAAGGUAAAAACAAUUUGAGAAGUUAAAGUCUCAAUUUAACACUGAUUUGUUUUCUAAGCAUGGCAAAAAUGGUACUGUAUAUUUCUUAUUUGGUAAAAUGGAUCACUGUGGACAUCAAUAAAGUAAUCAUUUUAUCAUGACGGAACAAUAAAUAAGUAUAUAAUUAAUAGUUUUAAGUAACAAGUCUUCUCACUGUGCAAAUAUUUACAAAUGAUGCUUUCAAACGAUAUCAUUAGUUACUUACCAGGUUCUAUUUAUGUUGUUGUUUUUGGGUUUUUUACAGAAUCUUGGCGAUUAUGGAUACUGUAUCUGGUUAUGCUAACAAGGAACGCCAGAAUCUUUAUAACCAGGUUUUACCACUGCGUUCAAACAGUGUUCACUCGAUACAUAGGUGUGACCCCGGCAAUGGCCGAGUCUCAGACUACUGACACCGGGAGGGAGAGUCCCAAACCAGAGGAGGGAGAGGAAAAGAGACCACAGUUUGGGGGACGGUUCCUGACAAAUCCGGAGGAUGUGUUCCAGCACAAUGCAUGGGAUAAUAUAGAGUGGGAUGAGGAACAAGAGGUGACUGCCAGAAAGAAAACACAAGAGCAGCUGAAUUCAGCGCUGUCCACUGAAAAACAAGAGGAGUAUGAGGAAUUAGCUGAUGAAUAUUGGAACAAGUUUUACCAGAUUCACCAGAACCGGUUCUUUAAAGACAGACACUGGCUCUUUACUGAAUUCCCAGAACUUGGUCCUGAUGUAAAGCCAAAUGAAGAUGUAAAGAGUGUGGUAGAUAGUCCAGCAUUUCCAGGACAGGGAGCCAAAAGGAGGAUCUUAGAGGUUAAAUACUACAGUCUAAGAAAUGCUGUACAAUAUCAAUUUGUUAUAAAGCCAUCUCAGUUUAUUCAAGAUCCCAUUUUCUGAUUUUCUUAAAUCAACUAAAAGGAAACCAAUCUAAACAUUCAACAUUUAUUUUUUUUCGUAAAAUAAAUUGUUCAAAAGGCAUGUUUGUAGUUUUUAUCAAAACAAGAACACCAGCAUUUAUAUGCUUAUGAAAUUGAAUGAAACACUCAAAAAUAUCACUUAAUGAUAAUAAUUUCAUUUAUUAACAAUAUUUUUACUCCACAAUGUAAAUGGCACCCAGUCUAUGAGGUUAGAAUCUAUUCUGGUCUUGUACUUAGCAAAGGUACAUAUGCCCAUGUAUGAUUUAUGAAAAAUAUUCAUGUGCCAUGUCAUGAUUUCAGGUGGGCUGUGGGGUUGGCAAUACAGUUUUUCCAAUUCUCCAGACAAACAAGUAAGAAAAUGACAUGUAAUGCAUAUUUACUAAGUAAUAUAUAUGCCAAUUUUUUUAUUUUGAUUAUAAAUUGAAAUGUACAGAAUGUUUAAUGUUCUCAGUAUAAACUUUCAGUGAUCCAGAGCUAAUGGUGUACUGCUGUGAUUUUUCCUCCACUGCAGUUCAACUUGUAAAGGUGAUCUUUUGAAUUAAAUGAUACACACAUUCAGUACUGAUCAGACCCAUCCUAACACCAGAUUACUCUGGGUUCACUCUAAUAAACCCGGAGUAAACCUAGAGUAAAUCCAGGGUUUAGUUGGGGUUUACUUUCUGUUAGGUUGGGUCUGAUCAAUUCUGUAAUUCCUUGCAAUGAACAGGAAUAUUUCUUAGUUGUGUGCAUAUACUAGUAGUGGAUUGUAUUCUCUUCAUACAGAUGUCAAUUGUGUCAUUUCCAUUCUCAUGAUAUAUUAUCUAUUGUCAUUUGAAACUUAAAACAAAAAUUGAUAUUUUUUUUUUGUAAAGCUCACUAACACUUUGUUGUUCACAUUUUUAUUAUUGGGACAAUGUGGCUGGUUCUGUAUUGCAAUUGAGGGGAUUGGUAGUAAGAAACUGCAUCAACCAUUCACUCAUUUCACUGCCUUAUAGAAAGAUAUUAUUGAUACACUCUAUGGUGUAAUGGUAUCUUAUAGGAGCACCCAGAUUAUAACCCAGACACCUGCCAUGCCUUUGUGUGUGAUGUCACAGAUGAUAAGGCAGAGAUUCCUUUCCCUGACCAAUCACUGGAUAUUAUCAUCCUCAUCUUUGUGCUGUCAGCCAUCAGUCCAGAAAAAAUGCAGUAUGUACUGAAUCGCCUGGCACAGCUUCUAAAGCCAGGGGGCAAAAUUCUCUUCAGAGACUACGGAAGAUAUGACUUAGCACAGUUACGAUUUAAAAAAGGUCACUGUUUAUCAGAGAAUUUUUAUGUACGGGGAGAUGGUACCAGAGUUUACUUUUUCACUCAAGAGGAGUUGAGGGACAUGCUGACGAAAGCUGGGCUAACGGAGGAACAAAAUCACAUAGAUAGACGGUUACAAGUAAACAGGGGCAGGCAACUCAAAAUGUAUCGAGUCUGGAUACAGUGUAAAUACAGGAAAUAAACGUAUACAAAA
rnacentral:misc_RNA from 1 species